AUGAACGCUAGCGACAGGCUUAACACAUGCAAGUCGAGGGGCAGCACAGGUAGCAAUACCGGGUGGCGACCGGCGCACGGGUGAGUAACGCGUAUGCAACUUGCCUAUCAGAGGGGGAUAACCCGGCGAAAGUCGGACUAAUACCGCAUGAAGCAGGGAUCCCGCAUGGGAAUAUUUGCUAAAGAUUCAUCGCUGAUAGAUAGGCAUGCGUUCCAUUAGGCAGUUGGCGGGGUAACGGCCCACCAAACCGACGAUGGAUAGGGGUUCUGAGAGGAAGGUCCCCCACAUUGGUACUGAGACACGGACCAAACUCCUACGGGAGGCAGCAGUGAGGAAUAUUGGUCAAUGGCCGAGAGGCUGAACCAGCCAAGUCGCGUGAGGGAUGAAGGUUCUAUGGAUCGUAAACCUCUUUUAUAAGGGAAUAAAGUGCGGGACGUGUCCCGUUUUGUAUGUACCUUAUGAAUAAGGAUCGGCUAACUCCGUGCCAGCAGCCGCGGUAAUACGGAGGAUCCGAGCGUUAUCCGGAUUUAUUGGGUUUAAAGGGUGCGUAGGCGGCCUUUUAAGUCAGCGGUGAAAGUCUGUGGCUCAACCAUAGAAUUGCCGUUGAAACUGGGGGGCUUGAGUAUGUUUGAGGCAGGCGGAAUGCGUGGUGUAGCGGUGAAAUGCAUAGAUAUCACGCAGAACCCCGAUUGCGAAGGCAGCCUGCCAAGCCAUGACUGACGCUGAUGCACGAAAGCGUGGGGAUCAAACAGGAUUAGAUACCCUGGUAGUCCACGCAGUAAACGAUGGACACUAUCUGUUCGGGUCGAAUGGGAUCUGAGUGGCACAGCGAAAGCGUUAAGUGUCCCACCUGGGGAGUACGCCGGCAACGGUGAAACUCAAAGGAAUUGACGGGGGCCCGCACAAGCGGAGGAACAUGUGGUUUAAUUCGAUGAUACGCGAGGAACCUUACCCGGGUUUGAACGCAUUCGGACCGAGGUGGAAACACCUUUUCUAGCAAUAGCCGUUUGCGAGGUGCUGCAUGGUUGUCGUCAGCUCGUGCCGUGAGGUGUCGGCUUAAGUGCCAUAACGAGCGCAACCCUUGCCACUAGUUACUAACAGGUAAAGCUGAGGACUCUGGUGGGACUGCCAGCGUAAGCUGCGAGGAAGGCGGGGAUGACGUCAAAUCAGCACGGCCCUUACAUCCGGGGCGACACACGUGUUACAAUGGCGUGGACAAAGGGAAGCCACCUGGCGACAGGGAGCGAAUCCCCAAACCACGUCUCAGUUCGGAUCGGAGUCUGCAACCCGACUCCGUGAAGCUGGAUUCGCUAGUAAUCGCGCAUCAGCCAUGGCGCGGUGAAUACGUUCCCGGGCCUUGUACACACCGCCCGUCAAGCCAUGGGAGCCGGGGGUACCUGAAGUCCGUAACCGCGAGGAUCGGCCUAGGGUAAAACUGGUGACUGGGGCU
rnacentral:rRNA from 1 species